rnacentral:rRNA from 1 species
GGUGAGUAACACGUGGGUAACCUGCCUUAAAGUGCCCUAUAACACUUGGAAACAGGUGCUAAUACCGCAUAACCAUCAAAACCGCCUGGUUUUGAUGUUAAAGAUGGUUCUGCUAUCGCUUUAAGAUGGACCCGCGGCGUAUUAGCUAGUUGGUGAGGUAAUGGCUUACCAAGGCAAUGAUACGUAGCCGAACUGAGAGGUUGAUCGGCCACAUUGGGACUGAGACACGGCCCAAACUCCUACGGGAGGCAGCAGUAGGGAAUCUUCCACAAUGGACGAAAGUCUGAUGGAGCAACGCCGCGUGAGUGAAGAAGGUUUUCGGAUCGUAAAACUCUGUUGUCAGAGAAGAACGUGUGUGAGAGUAACUGUUCACGCAGUGACGGUAUCUGACCAGAAAGUCACGGCUAACUACGUGCCAGCAGCCGCGGUAAUACGUAGGUGGCAAGCGUUGUCCGGAUUUAUUGGGCGUAAAGGGAACGCAGGCGGUCUUUUAAGUCUGAUGUGAAAGCCUUCGGCUUAACCGAAGUCGGGCAUUGGAAACUGGGAGACUUGAGUGCAGAAGAGGAGAGUGGAACUCCAUGUGUAGCGGUGAAAUGCGUAGAUAUAUGGAAGAACACCAGUGGCGAAAGCGGCUCUCUGGUCUGUAACUGACGCUGAGGUUCGAAAGCGUGGGUAGCAAACAGGA